UAAAAUGAGGAUGGGAUGCUACAUUGGGAAUGGUCGGGAUCGCUCAGCUGGUAGAGCAGACGACUGAAAAUCCUCGUGUCACCAGUUCAAAU
rnacentral:tRNA from 1 species